ACAAAAGUCCCAACUAUAAAAAGCAUAAAUAAAAAUAAUCAGGAGAACGGCGGAUGUAAAACUAUUGGAUUCUAUGUGUACAUGUUUUGCAUAUAUUGACGUGAAUCAAUCAUUAAUGAAUGCUAGUUAUAAUGGAUGCCAUUUACAGGAGAGAAUGAUAUGUAGAAGAAUAUAGAGGUCGAGUCAAAUGCUAAUUUAGUGAAACACCUUCUUCAUUUAAUGCAGAACCCAUGAAUGUUAAGUCGGUCACACUUUACAACGAAGUAUUUAAGUCAAACCAUGAAAAUAAGGAAAGAAACCCUAGAACAGCGUUAAAGUGUUCAAAAAAGCACUGUAGAAAUAAGUAACGCACUCUUAUAUAUAUGCAUCUAUGUAUGUAUAUAUGUCUAGAGAGAGAAAGAGAUGAAACGGGUCCACAAAAUAAGAGGAGUUUCAUAAAAAAGGGGAACCUGCAAAGUCAAGAAGAAGAAGAAAACAAAAGUGGAAAAUCCAACUCAUACAUGUGACCAAAUUUAUCAUCUUUUUUUUUCAGUUUCUCUUCACUGUCUUUCUCUAUACACCACUCAUCGACACCCAAACAAAUACAGUGAUAGAUCCUGUGUACAUUUGCUCCAAAAAAAAAAGAAGAUCAUAUUUUCUGUACAUAGUGCUCAUAUACAUUUUAUGGGUGGUGUACUCUAGGUUGAGAUUCCGUGGCCAUACAUAUAUAAGAGUUUCAGUUACAAAUCAUACUAUAUAUUUGAUAUUUUCAAGUAAAUUAGUAAAUAAGCUACGUUUAACAUGCAGUUUGGAGGUAAGCAUUUACUUAAGAAAUUUCAAUGCAAUACAAAAGAAAUGAUGGUCCAUUGUUAUACUUUACCUAGAUAAGAUCAGCCUCUAUAUACUAUUCACAUGUAUAGUAUACACAUGUAUAUUAUACGUUUCAUCACUUACCUAGCGCAGAUACCAACAAAUUACU